GAUGAACGCUCGCGGCAGGCCUAAUACAUGCAAGUCGGACGGGAUCCAUUGAUAGCUUGCUCUCAAUGGUGAGAGUGGCGCACGGGUGCGUAACGCGUGAGCAACCUGCCUCCAUCAGGGGGAUAGCCUCUCGAAAGAGAGAUUAACACCGCAUAAUAUCAACAGUUCGCAUGUUCAGUUGAUUAAAUAUUUAUAGGAUGGAGAUGGGCUCGCGUGACAUUAGCUAGUUGGUAGGGUAACGGCUUACCAAGGCGACGAUGUCUAGGGGCUCUGAGAGGAGAAUCCCCCACACUGGUACUGAGACACGGACCAGACUCCUACGGGAGGCAGCAGUAAGGAAGAUUGGUCAAUGGGCGGAAGCCUGAACCAGCCAUGCCGCGUGCAGGAUGACUGCCCUAUGGGUUGUAAACUGCUUUUGGCCAGGAAUAAACCUAAAUACGAGUAUUUAGCUGAAUGUACUGGAAGAAUAAGGAUCGGCUAACUCCGUG
rnacentral:rRNA from 1 species